AUGAACGCUGGCGGCGUGCCUAAUACAUGCCGGUCGAGCGAACGGACGAGAAGCUUGCUUCUCUGAUGUUAGCGGCGGACGGGUGAGUAACACGUGGAUAACCUACCUAUAAGACUGGGAUAACUUCGGGAAACCGGAGCUAAUACCGGAUAAUAUUUUGAACCGCAUGGUUCAAAAGUGAAAGACGGUCUUGCUGUCACUUAUAGAUGGAUCCGCGCUGCAUUAGCUAGUUGGUAAGGUAACGGCUUACCAAGGCAACGAUGCAUAGCCGACCUGAGAGGGUGAUCGGCAACACUGAAACUGAGACACGGUCCAGACUCCUACGGGAGGCAGCAGUAGGGAAUCUUCAGCAAUGGGCGAAAGACUGACGGAGCAAAGCCGCGUGAGUGAUGAAGGUAUUCGGAUCGUAAAACUCUGUUAUUAGGGAAGAACAUAUGUGUAAGUAACUGUGCACAUCUUGACGGUACCGAAUCAGAAAGACACGGCUAACUACGUG
rnacentral:rRNA from 1 species